AACGAACGCUGGCGGCGCGCCUAACACAUGCAAGUCGAACGAGAAGCUGUAGCAAUACAGUUGUACAGUGGCGAACGGGUGAGGAAUACAUGGGUGACCUACCCUCGAGUGGGGAAUAACCAGCCGAAAGGUUGGCUAAUACCGCGUACGUUUCCCAGUCUGCGGAUUGGGAAGGAAAGCGAUGCCGUGGGUAUCGCGCUCAAGGUUGGGCUCAUGUCCUAUCAGCUGUUGGUGAGGUAACGGCUCACCAAGGCAACGACGGGUAGCUGGUCUGAGAGGACGAUCAGCCACACUGGCACUGCGACACGGGCCAGACUCCUACGGGAGGCAGCAGUGAGGAAUAUUGCGCAAUGGGCGAAAGCCUGACGCAGCGACGCCGCGUGGGGGAGUGAAGGUCUUCGGAUU
rnacentral:rRNA from 1 species